rnacentral:rRNA from 1 species
GCGAAUCGCCCUUCGGGGUGCGCAGGCGCGAAAACUUUACAAUGCGGGAAACCGUGAUAAGGGAACUCCGAGUGCCCGUAAAAUCGGGCUGUCCAUCUGUUUAAAUAACAGGUGAAGAAAGGGCCGGGCAAGACCGGUGCCAGCCGCCGCGGUAAUACCGGCGGCUCGAGUGGUGGCCACUAUUACUGGGCUUAAAGCGUUCGUAGCUGGUCUGUUAAGUCUCUGGGGAAAUCUACUGGCUUAACCAAUAGGCGUUUCAGGGAUACUGGCAGACUAGGGACCGGGAGAGGUGAGGGGUACUCCAGGGGUAGGAGUGAAAUCCUGUAAUCCUUGGGGGACCACCUGUGGCGAAGGCGCCUCACCAGAACGGCUCCAACAGUGAGGGACGAAAGCUGGGGGAGCAAACCGGAUUAGAUACCCGGGUAGUCCCAGCCGUAAACGAUGCGCGUUAGGUGUAUCGGUGACCACGAGUCACCGAGGUGCCGAAGAGAAAUCGUGAAACGUGCCGCCUGGGAAGUACGGUCGCAAGGCUGAAACUUAAAGGAAUUGGCGGGGGAGCAC